AACCUAGCACACCUGCGGUGUGUACCUGCGGAGGGAUCAUUACAGAGUUGCAAAACUCCCUAAACCAUUGUGAACGUUACCUAAACCGUUGCUUCGGCGGGCGGCGCGCCCUCGCGCGCGCCCCUGGGCCCCACCGCGGGCGCCCGCCGGAGGUCACCAAACUCUUGAUAUUAAUUGGCCUCUCUGAGUCUUCUGUACUGAAUAAGUCAAAACUUUUAACAAUGGAUCUCAGAUCGGAAG
rnacentral:misc_RNA from 1 species